rnacentral:rRNA from 1 species
UGGCACGUAGUUGGCCGGGACUUCUUCUGUAGGUACCGUCAUUUCGUCCUACUGAAAGGGGUUUACAACCCGAAGGCCUUCAUCCCCCACGCGGCGUUGCUGCGUCAGGCUUUCGCCCAUUGCGCAAGAUUCC